GUCGAGGGAGAUCCUUUUACGAUGGUGGAAAAGCUAACGCGACAGUAGCAGCCUUUUGUGGAGAAAUUCGGAGAUUUGAUAUUGAGAGAUUCAAGGCUGUGAACCCUUGUGAGCUGGAAUUCCCCUUGCUGCGUGUGGUGCUUAGCAUGGUCGGGUUUUUUUUUGGAUUGGAUUUGGAAAUCUUGAGAAGAACCAAGGAUCAACUUCCAGUACUGGAUGUUACCACAAGUUCAAAAGAUGCCUUCAUAAACCCAAGAAAAGAAAGCCUUGUGUGUGGAGUAUCUUUUGAUGGUUCGCUGGCUGUCUAGCAGUACAGUUACCUGUUGUGAGGACAGCACACCUGCCUUCGCCCUAAGUCAGCUGGGAUAGGCUCCAGCCCCUCCCACGACCCGAAUGAGGAUUAAGCGGUGUACAGAAGAUGGAUGGAUGGAUAUCUGCGAUAUAUAUCCAGUCUGGCAAGUAAAUGUUAAAACUGUUCACCUCCUGCUUUUUUUUUUUUUUUUUUUUUUAGCUUCUGACGUGUGCAACAUCAUUUCAGCUUGUUAAAACAAUAAUUCAGGUACAUUUUAACUACUUAUAAUUCAGUUUGAGACAUCUACAUCAUGGCGUUCUGACAAGUUCAAACUUAAGAUAUACAUAUAGACAAAAAGAACUAUGUUAAUAUAUUGAAUUAACCCUUCAAUGCACGAAUGAUUGGACCCUACACUAUUCCAUAAAUGGGUCACAUAUAACUCAUAUAAAAGUCUAUGUGUUUUUAUGCCAUUUUUGUCAUUUUGGUCAUUAUAUUUUUGUCCACACAAAAAUGAUUUCAUGUUUGAAGUAUGUUUAUUUUUC